GUCACGUCGUCGCAACGUACCGCGUUUCACGUAGCGCACGCGGCGGCUCUUGUCGUUUACGUUACGCCGAGCUAGGCAGUAGUCGAGUCGGUUGGAGUCAGUCGAUCACUAGCUAAAUCAAAAGACGGUCUAUCAGUCUAUCAGUCAAUCAGUCAAUCAGUCAAUCAAUCAAUCAAUCAAUCAGUUAGUCAGCCAUUUGUUUGUUGCUUUCGACUUUUUUUUUUCAAGUUGCUUCUUGUGCCUCGUGCAGUUACCCGCCUCGGGGCCCGGCAGACGCGUGCAACAUUCCGUUUCCCGCUCGCGUGCGUGCGCGCGUGUGUUUGUGUGUGUUUUUUUUUCUAAUUUUUUUUGACGUUGUUGUUAUGCGUGUCAACGUGAACUGCAGCUUGAGAAAGUUGCAAGUCGCGAAUUAUCAAAUGUGAUUAAGUGAAAUGCA